GGGGCUGUAUUUUGGUUUCGACAGAAGUUUUAGGGAUGGAAUUGCAAGUAGGUGGCAACCUUAACUGCAAAAAUAAAAUAACUGGAAACAGAAACGAAUUAGCUUUCGCAUAAUAUAAAUCGAAGGCGCUUCUUCACUUUCUUUCCUGUGGAAAGUGUCUGAGGCUCAUUUUAGCAGGAUAUAGCACUUUUAAGCCUGUAUUAAGUGCCGAAAUACUUUCAGGCUAGUUAUCGACUUGGUUGUUGGUUACUUGGUCUAUAAUGAAAAUAAUUAAUCAACUAAACUUGUAGAUAUUUCAUUUUACAGGCUUUUGGACAGGAGUUCAAUUCUCCUCAGCUCCACCA
rnacentral:tmRNA from 1 species